rnacentral:rRNA from 1 species
UACAGAGGGGGCAAGCGUUGUUCGGAAUUACUGGGCGUAAAGGGCGCGUAGGCGGCCUUCUAAGUCGAACGUGAAAUCCCCGGGCUCAACCCGGGAACUGCGUCCGAUACUGGAAGGCUUGAAUUCGGGAGAGGGAUGUGGAAUUCCAGGUGUAGCGGUGAAAUGCGUAGAUAUCUGGAGGAACACCGGUGGCGAAGGCGGCAUCCUGGACCGACAUUGACGCUGAGGCGCGAAAGCCAGGGGAGCAAACGGG